rnacentral:lncRNA from 1 species
CGCACCACAGCCGGAGUCUACUUCCUGUCCAGCAGCAGCUUAGCAAAGUUUUACAUUUUUACCAAAAAAAGUGCACAAAAGUCUCACUGGAGGACGUUUAAAGACCUGGAGGAAGAGGGCCUGCAAACGUGACGUUUGGACAGAAACGCAGCCUUUUUCUGAGUGGAACAGAAAAGAUCAGCAAAGAGGAAGAAAUGAGAGGAAAAAACACAAAGAACCAAUAAACCGCUGUAGAAGGUGGUGAGGAAGAGGAGGAGGAUGAGGGUCACAGGAGGGAUGAAGCUCUGUUUGUGGGACGGAAACGAUGACAG